rnacentral:lncRNA from 1 species
UUCUUAAUCACGGCACUCUUGGAUAGUGAAGGCUUUCUUCAUCUCCAUUAUCCAGUUAUCAACCUUCAAAAGUUUAGCAGUCCCCUUGAAGGCUAGAGGAGCUAACUUUUUUAAUUCUGAAAUAUUAUUCCAUUGCAUUGGCUGCUCUCCAGUUGUUGUGGUGGAUGCUGAUAUUUUUGUGCAUCUCAUUGUAUCUGCCAUUGUUCAAGCAUUUGCUGCUGUAUUUAUUAUUGCAUCUGUACCAUCUCAAUUAGGAUCU